ACAGAGGUCUUCUCCAACCUGAUCACAUACCUACCAGCAUUAUCCAACUAAUCGAAAGCGAUAACUCGAACGAAAAUGAGAAAACAAAUUGCAAUUCUGUGCGUUGCUCUUCUGGUUGUUACCCUUGUCGACGCCUGCAAACCUCCUGGAUUACUCUGCACUGAAGACAAAGACUGCUGUGCACCGAUGGUAUGCAAUCCAUGGGCAGGCCGAUGCACCAAGAAACCAGCACCACCAGCUCCACCAGCUCCUUCAUCCUCAGCUGCAAUACAAGAGAAUCCAGAUGAACCACUAGCAUAAGCAGCAAUAAAUGACCGACUGAUCAAUAUUAUUUUACCUUCGUAGGCCUACGAAAUAAUCUUCGAACCCACUUACCUCAAUGUAUAUUAUAAGUCUUUUCAGAAUAUAGUAUGGCUAAUACAUCAUUCCAAAAAUA